rnacentral:rRNA from 1 species
AUUGAACGCUGGCGGCAUGCCUUACACAUGCAAGUCGAACGGCAGCACGGGAGCAAUCCUGGUGGCGAGUGGCGAACGGGUGAGUAAAGUAUCGGAACGUGCCCAGUCGUGGGGGAUAACGUAGCGAAAGUUACGCUAAUACCGCAUACGAUCUAUGGAUGAAAGCGGGGGAUCGCAAGACCUCGCGCGAUUGGAGCGGCCGAUAUCAGAUUAAGUAGUUGGUGGGGUAAAGGCCCACCAAGCCGACGAUCUGUAGCUGGUCUGAGAGGACGACCAGCCCCACUGGGACUGAGACACGGCCCAGACUCCUACGGGAGGCAGCAGUGGGGAAUUUUGGACAAUGGGCGAAAGCCUGAUCCAGCCAUGCCGCGUGCAGGAUGAAGGCCUUCGGGUUGUAAACUGCUUUUGUACGGAACGAAAAGGACUGCCCUAAUACGGUGGUCCCAUGACGGUACCGUAAGAAUAAGCACCGGCUAACUACGUGCCAGCAGCCGCCGUAA